UCCCCUCCGGUAGGAUGCCUCUGCCCAUGGGGUGUCCAGCUUCCUGCAGCCGCCCUCCAAAGUGUGCUUCAGGCAAGGCUGGCUUUAGAUUUAUCCAAAUGUCGAGCUGCGUGAGGUGUUUUAGGUAACCGGAUGGGAACAGGGAUGAUUCUUGGGGUUUUUCUGUGGUGGCACAAACUCACCAGGCUAUGGUUGUUCAUCUCAUUGCUGCCUGGAGGAGCAGAGAACGUGCUUGCCAACUUUCACGUGGAAAAGCUCCUACAAGUGAAUGUUCUCUCUACCUACAUAUGCAUAUUUUUCAGUCUUACCUCCUUAAUUGGAAAAGCCCUGGCUAUAGAAACUCGGGACUCGCUUUUAUGAGGAGGCUACUAUUAGGAAGUAUUUAAGAACCUUCUAGGAACAAACUUUCAUUUUCAUCACUUCAGUUGAAGCAGUUACUUUGUUUUUGGGAUGGCAUUGCAAUGGUCAGUGAAACUUGUAGAAGUGAUACUUUUGAUUUGUGGAAUGCUCUCUGGGUGGCUUCCAAGGAAACUAUACCUUUGUUGAGGUGGUGUUCACCUGUGCUGCUGCUGGGGGUAUGGGAGGGAUGCUUAAGCACUUUUGUAGAGUUUUAAAAGGAAAAAAAAGUAGUGUUUUGUGGUGUGUAGACUGCUCGGGAGUAGUGGCUAAAUUACAACUGGUGCAAAGUUUGUAUCUAGCAGGCAGGUGCUGUGCUGUUACUAUAGUAAGUCAUAAGAAGGACACUUAACUAGCUUUUUGAAGCCUUUGUUGGCUUUCUAACUUCACAGAUAGUGUGUUCAGCCAUGUAGCUGCUGGAUGGGGCUCAAAACCUGUAUUUCUUCCAUGGGAAUUUUUAAAUCCAUACCUUCUGUCGGGCACAACAGUUUAAAGUUGGGCAUCUGUAGUCACCCCAAAAAAUUGCCAAUGCAAUGAAAACCACAAUAUGCUUGAAUAAAUAAAUACAAUUACACAUACUUACACUGUUCUAAUUGCCUGACCAAUUCUAGGAGUGCAGUGGGGAUUGCAGUCCCUCAAUCUUCAUUUUGUGGGUGUGUGUUAUGUGGUUUCUUUAUUUUCUUUCUGGGACAACUGGAGAAAUCUUGUAUUCAAAGACACAUUUGUGUUUUGAGCAGAAUCUCAGAGGAUGCAGGCAGGUGUGGUGCCAGAUCAGAUCCUGUGUGAUGUAAUACUGGCUUAAUGUGAUGUAUUACUGUGCUUAAUUCCUCAGUCAAGUUUCUUGGGAAAAUUUCUGCAGCAUUUAAGGCUUGAAGAGCUGGAAUGUGAAUGGUCUCUUUUAUAUUUUAUCACGCCUAAAAGGAACUGCAUCCUGUUAACAUCUAUGUCAGGGUGGUAACAGUGCUUUGUUUAAUUCAGCUUGUUUGUCUUGCUCUGGUGGGUUGGCCUUUGCAGAGUGACUGUAAUUGAAGAUAGCACUGGAGCUGCUGGGAUUGAAUUUGAAAGUGAUUCCAGUAGAAUGCACGGGCAUAGCAAGCUGUUGGUGAGUUAAAAGCAGGGCUGUAACUCUAGCACUUAGAAUAAACAGUUCCUAUGUGUGUUUUGAUGUUCUAGCUAGCUCUGGUGUUCAAAACAAACUGAUGUAAGAGACCAAAAAGACAGAUUCUUUUAACUCCUGCUUGUGCAGAGGGUUCACUUCUAUUUUCUUUGUGUAUGUAUGUAAGAGACAAAUGUUUAAACCUUUAAAUUAGUUUCUUAAAUUAAUGUUAAUUAUUCUGGGAGUCGAUGCAGCCUCACAAUUUCAUCAGGUGUUGGUAAUGCCCCAGAUUGCAAUGUGGUUUUAAUAAAUUGCAGGAGUAACAAACACAGCAGGGGUUGGCUCUGCCAGUUUUUUUGCUAAAUCCUGUGCUUGGGUAGGGGAGAGUUCCUGCCUCAUCGCUGUUAUCUCAAACAACACAUUAAUUUUUUCUAGAAAUAGCCUUCCUAUCUUUCUGCAAAUUGGGAAAACCAAACUCUUCCCAUCUCCCUUCUGCUAGGAGCCAGGUGAAGGCUGGUUCAGAAAUUGAGAAACUGGCAACUCAGUCAGUAAAAUGCAGCUGUUUUAGCAGGGUGGGUGUAUCUGAUUACAGCUUUUCUCCCACACAUGCUGUCAGGAGUUGUAGUAAGCUUGUGCUUGCUGUUUUGUUGCCACUGUUCCCUGUCUGAUGGCUCCUUUAUUAGAUGUUCAGUCUGGUAUUUCGGCCUUGCUGGAAUCAAUAGAAAAAUUUGCUUGGGUUUCAGGUCAGCAGUGUGGCCUGGUAGUGAUAAAAGCUAACUGCACACUAGGCUGGAUCAAAAGGAGCAUAACCAGGACAUCAAGUGAAGUGAUUCUUUUUGUCUGCUGGUCACUCAGCAGCUGCAUCUGGCACACUGUGCCUGGCUUUUGGUCCACCACCACAAGAAAGAUGUGGAGAACCCUGUGCAAGUCCAACAGAGCCUGUCUUUAAGGUGAAGGGACUGAGGGAACUGGGCUUCUUCAGCCUGGCAAAAAAUAAUGGGUGAGGGUAGACCCAGCAGCACAAACCAAAGCAGGGAGUGGGUAUGGGCAGAAUUAAGUAACUAAGUUUUUGUGGUCUAUUUGUUCUUCACAAGGGCCCCACAAUUUGUAGAAGUUAACGUAUUUUGAAUGCUUUUUUAAUCCCUGCACACACUAUUUGGGGAUGAUGGGCUGUGCCACCAAGGUCUGAGAGUGUCACAAAAUAAAAGCUAUGUGGAUAGGCAAGCAGUUACUUGCCUAGUAACUAGUAACUUAUUAACUUUGACCCCAAAAUUGGAGAGAUCUUCCUUUUACCUUUUAUGCAGUUUUUUUUACUCUUUAAAGCUUUUUUGUUUGCUUUUGGAUAUUCUUCCUGUAAAAUUUUCCUUAGCAGAUCAUCUCCUAUAGCUCAGUCAAUUUGGUUUUUCAGAACCAGAAUGGUUUUCUUGGGUGGUGUUGCCAGCAUUAGGGGUUGUGCAUCUGGGAAAGCUGAGGUUCUGAUAGAGGAACGAGGCAUACAAAUAAGAGAAAAAUAUCAAGUUGGUGUCAUAAUUUCUUGACUGAUGAAGUAGGACUUGUAAAUGGAAAGACCAGGGAAGAGAAUAAAAUAGAGCUGGGAAAAUAAGGCAAAGAGAAGGCAGGUGUUGAGUGAGGCUGAAGUGAAAGGAAUGAGGCAUUCACAGGAAAUUGCCAGCUGUAAAUUUUCAAGGAUGUCUGGGCAACACACAACUGAAACAAUCUGCUAAUGUCGAGUGUCAUUGUAAACAGCUCCAGCCUCCACCUCAUCCUUCAGGAAAGGUCCUUUCCCCAUCCAUGUCUUUAUGGGGGGCGUGUCCUGACUGCAGAGUUUUCAUUUUACCACACUGUGUCCAGGGCCAGAGCUUUCUUCUCAAAGCAGGGAAUGAUUCCUUGUAGUUUCCACUUUCUCCUGCAGCUGUCCCACUUUGUUCUGGGAUUAUUGAUGUGAUAGGACCAGGAAAUAUAUUUGGCUAAUGAAAGGAAUGCAGAGAAUUUGUUCUGUCCUUCCACUCUUGCUUCGUGUCAUUCUAGAAAUGGCAGAACUAAUCCUGCCUGAGCAUCCCUCUUCUCACUGAGCAUCUGCUGCCAUUCUUAAUUGUUUUCUUUUUUCUUUGGAAGAGCUUCUAAUGUACUUUUUUUAUUCUUUAAUUACUUUUGUUUGACUCCACCUUUACCGUGUCUUUGGCCAAACAAGUUUUGCAUUUAAUUUCAUUUAUUCUUAUGUGGAAGAAAGCAACUGUCUGUUUUGAUGAAUGUCCCAGAUCAAUGAUUUCUGAGAGGCUGGAUGUAAGAAGAAUAUUAACAGCAUUUGCAGACGAUCAUAAGCCAGGUGUUACAAACACAAGUAGGAAGAAAUAAUACAACAUAAUCUAAAAAUCUUGGAAACGGGAAAUUGAAUGUAACUGAGUGGAGAGAAGAAAUAAAAACUGAUGUGUCCUUGUGGGGGCUGGGGGGGGGGGUGGUGUGGAAAGUUCAGUCCAAGGGAAAACUUGGAAAAUAGAGCUGAGGGAGAAAGUGGAGAGCUAAUUAAAUAUUCCUUUGCUUGGUGACAGGGCAAAGGAAAGGACAACAUAAUUAGGGAGUAGCUGUGGGCAUUGCUUGGAACAGCAGCAGGGUAGUGGCCUAAAGUAAUUUCAAGAGCACCCAGAAUAUUUUAACUGAACCUGGGUAUCUCAUUAUCAAUGUGUUUUACACAGAUGGGCACAAUUUCAGAGACAACUGGUGAUUAUCAUUUGAGAGAAUAAAGGUAUGAAAUGUGUAAAACAUGACUGAGGAAAAGCCAGGUAGGGAUAUAUUCAUCAAUAAACUUCCUGAAGUGCUGAUUGAUGAAUGUUUUGAGAUAAUUAAAAUAGCCCUCAGAAAGGUUUAGGCAUUAAGCUUCAAACUGUAAAAUAACUUUUCAUUGUAUGUGCAAAUCAAUGAAAAACAUUCUAAGAAGGAACUGGAAAAAAACACUGGGAAAAAAACUUCAGUAUUACAAAUUCUCCAUCUGCAGUCUUUUAAAGAUCCCAUCUUUUUGAUGUCUCAUUGAUAACUGGAUUCUUCUGUUGGCCAAAGCUUUCUUGCCAUAUUCAUGUGAAUUGUGUUGAUGCUGAAUUGAGGUCAGGACACAAAGGUAAGAAAUUUCCCCCUCCCUCUAAUAAAGUUCAAAUAAGUGAGUUUACAAAAUCCUUACUGAAAAAAGUCUUUAAUGUGGGGCUCUAUGUAAACAAGUGAGCACAGUGAGAUAUGAAUAUUCCUUUUGCACUGUGUGGUUAAAGUAAUACUCAUAACUUAAGAGAGAUCAGGUGUUCUUCAAGAAAUGUUUAACUGUAAUAAACUUGGCACAAAUUCUGUUAGGCUCAGCUCUAGGAACAAUUCUAGAAUCUGCAGCUGUGAACCAUUUUCUGUGAUGCUGUGACUCAGUCAGGAAGAUGGUGUGAAGUCUGCUGUGUGUCCCAGCAGAGCUGUUCUGCUGACACAGGGACUGCCAUAAAGCUAUGUUAAUAAAAUCUUGCAAGGAGGCAAACCCCAAGCUGUCACCCUUUUGUUAAACCAGAUCUGGUCAUCUCUGAAAUAUUCAUUAGUUCUGGAAGUGUUUGGGUUGGUUUUUUUUUUUACUUUUUUUUUUGUGUUGUUUUGGGUUUUUUUAAAUACCUGCUUUUGAUACAAUUUCUUAGCUUUAUUUUUUGGUCUAACCCAUUGCAACUUUUGAAGGACCUUAAGGGUUUGGCUUUUUUAAGGAAAGCUAGUAGGAUUUGUGUUCCAAAAUAUCAAUCAAACUGUAAAAUUCAGGAAUCUGGGCUAAAAUAUUCCAUAGUGUCAGUGCUCCAAGUGCCAUUUGCAGAGACUAGUGAUUCUCCCCAAUAAACUUUACACAGUGUUAAAUCUAACAAUUGUCUCUGGUCAAUUGUCUGGUACUUUGGUCCACUUUGUAUUUAAAAUGGAACUGCUAACUUCAUUGUGAUAACGACUUGAUUUGGGGCACUACUUGAUCUUUCAGCUUUUGAGGCAAUAAUCUUCUCUCUCUAACAAGUAAAAUAGCUCCAGAUGGCAAUUGAGGAAUAGCUCCACUAAAGAUGAUUGUUUUGUCUUUAGUAAAUUCUUGAUAUUCGCAAGGUUGGUGAAGCCCUGUCCUCUUUACAUUUUAGUUAGGCAUGUGAUAACUUUCAGCCAUUGAUUUAAACUGGAAAAAAACCCACUUUGUAUCCACAGGUUACAGUAAUGCCCUUUCUGGAAUAAGUCAGCCUCUUGCUCCCCUCUGUAGCUGGGACUGUGGAUCACAGGAGAUGAAUGCCAGGGUAUUAAUGUGAGGGUGGUAGGUGUCACUUCCAUGGUAAUCAGUGGCUUUAGUGGCUGCCAAAUUCAUAAAGGCAUCAGGAUAAAAUAAAGGUUAUGGCUCCAAGUGAGACUGUUUUAUAAUUGAUUUAUCUGAGCUGUAUAACUGAGCCUAAAUUCCAAGGUGUGCCUCAGCAGUUCCAGGUGUUUUUAAUGCAUUGCCUUUACCUUCCAUGCUGUCAUAUGUACAACUUGGCUAUCCCUUCCCAGUUCUACAGUGAACAGCCUUGAAAUGAAAAUGUAUUCCUCAAGUGAUGAACAUGGGGCUAUAAUUCAGAAACAAGCUCCUUUAGUUUGCUUCUUUUGGAAAUCAGAAACAUCUCUUUAUGUUGGGAAAAGAAAGAGGUAGAAGGAUGGAAGGAGUAGAAACCAAAUCACUAAGUUUUUCUUGGAGAGGUGAUACUAAGAAACAAUUUGGCAGAAAAUGCAGCUUUCAGUUUUGGGCAAAUAACACUGUGCUGAAGGAAAAGCUCUCACAUGCUUUUCAAGCUUUUUGAAGAUGAGCUUGUAGCUUUUUGAAUGUAUGUAGUAUGUACACAAUCAUCUUCCAAUUCAUUAGGAUUCUUGGUUAUUAUUUUUUUGUGUUUUCACAGUGAACUUGAUUUUACAUAUUGUUUUUUUUUUUCUGUUUAAGCUUUACCUGUUUUUUCACUCAUUUCUCUAUUUCAGUCCAUAAGUUAUUGUUCAGCCUUUGGCAAGCUGUAUUUUUAAACUGCUGCUCUCUUCUGUCAUACCUGUGACUAAACUUAGUCUUUGAUCACGUUCCUUUGUGGCUGGUCUUUUCCACUGUGAAGGGAAAAUUAGAACUAAAAAAAUAGAACUUAAAAAAAAAAAAAGUAUUUCUAUCCUUAGAAUCUUUUUUCCCCAGUGAACAUCCUUUGGAGAAUUUAAGGAAGCAUCCCUGCAAGCUCUGUGUUCAGGUAGCAAUAAGCAAUUCUGUAGGUGGGGUAGAACGAGAAACUUGGCAUCACAGGCUGAAAACAACAGGCCUGCCCCAGAAGCUGCCAUGCAUUCCUUGUGUCACAGAGGUCACCAGAGUCCCGAGGGGCAUGUCAGCAACACCUCCCACGGCAAAAGCCAACUUCACUCCUUCCUGCAAGGUAGGAUUGGGUCCAAAUACCUCCAAGUUACUUCCCAAAAUAUGAAAGAUGCUGGUGUAGGUAACCAAUUUGUCUGUGGAAUUUUGUCAUUCCCUCUUUCCUUCCAGGACUGCAGCAAAGAUGCUGCAUGUGUUUUCUUCCUGGGGAAUUAGACUUCAAUGAUUUGGGAAAUGCAGGUCUUGAGAGCUGCCUGCACAGAGAAAAUGGGUAAUUAGAAGCAUGUGUUGUGCUGUGAGUGUUCCAGGGAGCUGUCUGGGCCAGAGUGAAAGGCUGGAUUAGCACAGUGUGACAGCACUGUGCAGAUGUAAACCUGGGGUGCCUUUAACUGUUCUAACCUCAUUACAAACUUAGUUGAAAACAGGGGAUAUUUAUUCAUAGAGUCUCCAGUUUGAUGAUUUUAACCCUGGCAGGAUCUUAGAUGAAGAUCUAUAUUUACAUAUAACUUUUUGACCAGCCUGUUGUCCAGUUAUUAUUAUAAGUUAUUAUCAGUUAUUUCUGAAAACUGACUUUAUAAAAAGUAAAACUAAAAUACUGGCAUUUGAUUCCAGCUGUAGGAAAGAAAGGUUAUGAUUUAGUUAGGUGUCACCUAACAGCAAAUUAGCCUUAAAACCAAAUCUAUCUAAUAUGUCCUGGAUUGUAGAUGGAAAAGGACUAUGGGUUGGUUUCAAGACACCUGUUAGAUACAAUCCAUAAAGCAGAAAAAAAGUUUCUAGGACAGUGUACAUGAAAUAAAAUAGCACUUUUCCUCUGCCAAGUCUUUCAUUCUUGCUCUGUUUAAAAUUGGUAUUGUGGGGAGGUAGCAAAUGACUUUGUGGUGUGUUUCAGCCAAACAUGCUAGUGGUUAUGGCUGAGUAAUGGGCAACUUUUAUACUGAUUUUUUGUUUGUUUUGGUUUUUUUUGGUGAAGGGGUUCUCAGAGUUUGAAAUACCCUGUAAAAUCUUGGGUUAAAUAGAGAUGCCACCUCCUCUUACAGCAGAGAUGUGCUUUGUGCUUAAUGCUUUCCCUCAUGAAAAUAAUCAGCAUGUAAUGCUAAUAUUUUUAAUAUUAGUUUCUUAUACAGAGGGAAGAAAGGCAUUCUGCUUGUGCUACUCUAAAGAUCACUCAAGUAUGAUCAAUAAUCCAUUAGCAGGAAUCUCUGUUCCAUUUAACACCACUAACAAGUUUUUCCAUCCCUUCCAAGUGUAAAGCAGGACAGAGAAGUAAUCUGGAAGGUUAAACUGUGGAGGAAGUCAAAAUAGCACCAAAAAUAGCUUAAUCUAAAGGUACUUAGCAGAAACCACAUCUAAAUCAGCUGUAUUUUUAAUGUCUUGUAAGGCUGUCUGUGUCUUCUGUGCAGGGGAAUUUCUUCAGUAAAUAGUGGAGUGUCGUAGCCAUGAGUGCAACAAAACUGCUUUACAGAGAUUUACAGCACCACACUCCUUGGAGAAGUGUGGAUUGUAUCCAGCCUGGAGGAGCAAGUAAUGACAAAGGAUGAUACAAGUACUUCAGAGUUUUUAGCUGUGAGUGACUGGCAGGAUGUCCAGCCCUGAUGAUUUAAUAGAUUAACUUGGUGAAUUGGUGAUCAUGAGUUUUAUCUAGUGUUGGUAUGGGAUUAUCACUUUACUAUCAUUUGGGACAGCAAUUUAAGGUCAAAUCCUAUUUUUCUCUGCAUCAAGAAUCCCACUGUGUCCUUAUGCACAGGAAGAAAUGUAGGAAAAAUAAAUCUUCCUAUGGGUGUUACUGUUUGGCACAAUCUAAAAUAUAUCUAAUAGCUUUUGCUUUUUUUUCUGGACUGAGGAAUCAAGUUUGAAAGCAAACCAACAAAAGAGGCAUUCAUGGUUUGUUUUUUAAAAGCCACACAUUGUCCUAUCUUAUUCAAAGCAGAAUUUUUCUAAUAACCAAAUUCUGAGUCUGUGUCCCAAAGUUAUGCAAUAAAAACAAUUGUCAGAUCUAUUAUGAUAGUCUAGACUAGACACAAAAGGGGAACUCUGGGGCAAACAUGGAGAUUUUCUCACGGAAAAUAGCAGGAAGACUAAAUUCUAUUCUUCCUUUAAAAAAGUAGUCCAAUCUCUAACCUUUCAGAAUAGUUCAGUUGUUUUCUUGGCGGGGAGAAAUGGCUGCAGUAGAUUGUUCUAGAAGAAAAUGUGCCAUUGUCAGCCCUCCUCUGCUGGGUGGGUGAUAAGGGCCUGUAAAAGCCCUGUGUUGUCUCCCAAGUAGUCCAGAAGCAAGGCUUUUCCUCUCCUAUAUGGAUCCUUGUGUGUGUGAGAUAGAUUAAUGGCUUGUCAGAGGAGCACAAACCAAGCUAUGGAGUUGAGCUGGAAUGAAAUGGUUCUGUUUUCAGAAAUCCUCAAUGGAACAGAUUUUCUAAAUGGGAAACAAAGGCAUCUCCUCAGCUGUGCUGCCUAUAGUGGGGACCAAGGAACAGCACUGCAAGAUGGGCCUGGAUUUUUUUGCAUCUUCCCAUCCUGAUCCUACACUUCCCUCUGCCUCCUGACCCCAGUGGAAUGAGGUGCACAUGAGGCCAGGACUGCCAGACCAGGAGAAGUUUGCUUAAAGCUCACUCUGCAGAACAGCAGUAAUUUGUGAGCUGGAGCCCAUUGCAGAUACAAACUGGGUCUCCAGGGGGAUGGGAAUUUGUUCAUGUGCGCUGGUAUUUGGGUCACAAGCCUGAUGGAAGGGGACAACACAACCCAUCAAGUUUGGGAAUGGGAGCUAUGAAAUGUUACAGCAGUGGGGUCAUCCCUUGUGGCUUCUGGUAAUUAGAUAAAAUUUGCUGAGUAACGAGGCCGUAGUUUCACAUAUGCUUUAAGCCAGCACUGAAAUCUCACCUGACAAAUGUGAUUAGUUUUAACCUGGAUAUGGAGCACUGUGCAUGUAGAAAACAUUCUUUCCAGUAGGGAUGGGUAUUUGAACUAGGAUUAAGUGGGAAGGAAGGUGCAGGACAUGUAUAUUUCUGGAUUCUGAGAAUACAAAAAAAACUGAGGCGAAAAUAAGACAAUGAAAUGUAUCCGCUUGCUUUUAAAGAUUUUUAUCUUUUCAGUCUCUCUUACUCAGACCUUCUGCUGUACCUUCCAUUUUAGGUUAGGUGAGGUCAUUCCCAAGCCAAAGGCCACCUGAUCUCAGGUAGUGAUGUGGUGUUUGCUCUCCUUCCUUCACACUGAGCCAAUUGAAGUACAAGGCAGUAUGAACCCCACUCAGAAGUAUACAGCUAAAAAGCCAAAUUACAUUCAAAUACGCAUAAAGUCACUUCAGAUGUACAGGGAGAUUUCAAAUUAUAAAAAUCUAAAAUUAUGAACUCAAAACCUUUGAGUUCAAGGGGUGUAAUUUAUUUUUUUUCUACAAUGCAUGGUCUAGCAUAUUCUAAUUUGGGCAGCACUGUUUAAAAGUUCAUUAGUAUAUGUAAGUAAUUAGCAGGCUGGCUUGAUGGCAUAAAGAUUAAACUAAAGGUACGUAUUGCUGAUCUGUGGGAUAGAUAUAUAACCCAUAUAAACAGCAUGCAUGGAUUGCUGUUUUUUUCCAUAAUUACUACAACUGUAACACUAAGAAAGCCACUAGGAAAUAGAUUUUAUAUUUUAUAUCCAAAAGCUAUCUCAAGGCAUGUGAGGGAGACAAUGAAAAUGGUAAUCUUAAUACAGUAGAAACCAUGAAGGAGACAGUUCUGUACAGGAUUUAGUCAUUUCCCCCAACUUUUUAUUUCUAGUGACCUCAAUCUUUUUCUGUCAGUUCCACCAAUCCUGUAGAUGGAGUGGGAGUUGGCACUUUUGAAUAUUUCUUUCUCUAAUAGGAGGAAGGGAUGGUGAGAGCAAGGAAAAGAGCUUAAUUGCUACACUGCUGCUGAAGGUACAAGUUUUAGGUAGUUGAAGACACAGUGCACACUCAGAAUCAAAGGCUGAUGACAUCCCCCCCCAGAAAAUUUACCAAGUCAGAAAAUAACGUAGGAAAAAAGUCUCUCAACAUCCCCAACUCAAGUGAGUGCUGAGAAGUCCCUGAACUGUGACUUGCUUAUGCUCAGUGCAGAAGAAAUAUUUUUGACCUGAAACUGUGAAGUCAAACAUGUUUGCUACAGGACCACUGCAACAACAGUCCUUUGUGGGUUGAUCAGAACUGUGAAGGUUGCUGUCAUUGCCUUCCUCAGCAAACCAGCCCUUCAGAGCAGGAGCAAUUCCGUUCCGUGAGUCUUCCAUGGAACUGGGGUUUUUCAACAUGUUUGUAACAGCAAAGCAACUGCUCCAGGAGUGUGUACGUUCUUUUUUGAAAUAAUAAAUCUCAUUUUAGUGUCUAUUUUUCCUAUUCUUCAGAAGUCAUAUGGAUUUCAUAGAUGAUAGUGUAUGAUUGAUCAUAAAAUAUUGUUUUUUUUGCUUUAGACAAAUAUUUAGUCUUUUUUAUCCUUGACAAGUUUUCUUAAAGUUUUUGACAGGUUCUAUUUUUUACUGUUUAUUUUAAAUCUUUAUCUAGUUCUAAAAUAAAUAGUUACUUCUUUUUGGUGAAUUGUAUUAGUUCUACACCUUUAAUUUAUUUUCUUAUUUUAAGGCACAGGAUAUUUUAUCAACUGCUGUAGUUAAUUGAUGUCUGGUGUUUCCCCUCAUCUAUAUUCACUUUUUCCUGUGAAGGUAUGCAAUGUACCUACAUGUAUAUAAUAUAAUUUUUGUUCGGUGCUAUAUAUAUUUUAAGAUAUAUAUUAUUUAUAAUAUGUAUUUUCAUGUAUUAAUAGAUAUCUCUAUAUAUUAAGAAAUAUAGAUUUAUAUUUUUUAGAACAAAACCAUUGAUUAAAAGCUUAUAUCUCUUACACUGGAGUGAUGUACCACCGCACUGUUUUGAAGCUGACGGGUGAUUCUGUCCCUCUGAGGCAUUGCCAGGACUCUGCUAUGGAUGCAGUGAAAUAAAUGCUUUGUGCCAUCUACUGGUGCCGCUGGGAGCUGCGGGUCAGCCCGGAGCCGGAGUUGUGACGGACUCAAGCGCGCAGUGUGGGAAAAGAAGGAAACUCGCUGUAAAUGCCCCAAACAAUCAUCCUUGCUUUUUUUGUGACUAAUUGCUACACCUGGGAAAACUAACUGCAGACAACAGAACACAGUGAAGAACAUUUCAGUGGAGUUACUGGAGGUGAUGGGCCUGACUCAGCAUGACUGAAACUUGUGAAGAGUGAUCAUCUUUGUAAAAGUUCUGUUGUUCCUGGUUGAAGUCAAUGGGUGCUCUUAGUGCACACAAAAAAUGCAGCCCAGGGAAGCAUCCACCUGCCCAGUCCUCAAGGAAAUGUCAGAUGGGAAGAGGCCUCCUAAAUUCAGAGUGCCUGUUCCAGUGGGGGAUGUGUAUUUUUAAUUAUCUGCUGUCCUUAGUUGAAGAGAUUUGUCCCUGCACUAUAUAAGUGUACUUCUGCUUGCUUUCUUUUUUCAGCCAGGAGCCUCGUGCAGCUCGUUGCUGUCUGUGAACCUUUUGUAACCAAUUCUGAAAUUCUUCAAAGCACACUCAAACCUUGUCAGCCCCGGAGCUCUUUGGCAGGACAAAAGAUGCACAUGCAGAAGUGCAUAAGGUCAUUUGAUCAUUUUGUGUUGCCUUCUGAAGGGGUGGGUGACCCUCUGAGGGCUGGGCUGAGGUGUGAGUGCUUCACAGUGAGAUGAAAUUUCACUUUAUAACUCCUUGAGGAUACGUGGAUGUUUUAACUGCCCCUCCCCUGCCUUGGGUAUCCUGUCCAAACCUCAUGUCUGCUUCUGCAGGGGACAAACCUGUUCCCCACUGCUCCUGCCAUUGAACAGAACAAUCCAAGGGAUGUGUGCAAGCACCUGCAAAACAGGCAAGUCUUUAAGCUGGCUUGGGUUGGGUUUGAAAUAGGUUCAACAGAAUCUGCCACCUUAACAUGUUGAAUUCAAUAGCACAGAAAAAUUGCUGUGCCUGGAAAAUGAAAAGCUUGAUCUCAAAUUAACUCCUGUGUGUUCAGCAUCAGGCAAGAAAAAAAAAAAUCCAAAUUAAACAGCAGCAUGUUUCUCAUCCAGAAAAUUUUUGACUAGAAAUGCCAUGAGCUGAUUUUUUGAAUCAUCACACCAAGUACAGGUCUGCAUGUAAGGCUCUGGCCAGGCCAAACUCCAAAUUUCAGUGAACUGCAUGUUAAAUGGAGGGGUGUUUGUUCUGAAUUUUCCACAUAUUGAAGCUGUGCUGCCUUUAAAUUCUGUAUCUUUAACAGGGAAUUCUGUGUCAGUAAUGAAUGGAUGAAAGUGGGAAGUUUGAGGACAGCAUGCAACUAGAGAGGCACAGACACCUUCUGGCCCUCUUCAGGAAAUCUCAGUCUUGUCUGGUACAAUUUGGCUUUUUGAAACAUUUUUCUAGUACUUGUGGGCUGAAAGGGAUUUUGGUUACUGUAUCUGGAAAACGCUGGGAUGAAAAUUACCCUGGAAAGUCCUUCUAAGACCUUUGCAAGUAAAGUUUUCCUUUGUCAUAUCAUCAGAAAAUGCUGUGUAAGAGAAUGUUUGCACCUGCUGUGUCUCCCAUAACUGUCCUGAACUCAGCACUGGAUUUUGUGUUCCUAUUUUUAAAAGCCAUCUUGCUAAAUAGGUACAGAGAAUGUUCCCUCUGGAAGGGGAAGGGAACAGCAGUGCAGCAUUAGGGGAGCACUGUGAACUUGGAGUGCCUCAUAUCAGCUGAGAGUGCAAAGGAGGCAGAUAAGAGAGCUGAAUAAAUUAGCAUGGGUUUUGUGUGCACGAUACUGACUUGCAACUCUGGCAAUGUCAUCGAGGAAAAACUCUUUUUUAAGUCUUUCAUGUAGUGUGAAUGACCUGAGGGAGGGCUGGAAUCCUCUCCGAAAGAAUUUAUCUUACCCACUGCUUAAGAUGGAACAGAUAGACCUAAGGAAAAUACCUUGCUUGGCUUGCAAGCAUUGGAAUAAGUGUCUGCAGAAAGAGAUGGCAAAGCAGGGAUAUUGCAAGCAGACUUGUGCCUGCUGCCUGCCAGCUUUGGAGUCCCUUUAUAGAAGCUAGCAGCCUUGCCUGGAAAAAGAGCCAAGGAGUUGUUACAGCUUUGGAGAAAGCUGGGAAAACAAAGAGAAGGGAGAGCCACGCAGAGCUCCUGUUUGGACAAACUGCAUAUGAUUGGGCUGAGUGUGUUCAGGGAAAGAAGUGGGGAAAAGGAGUUACAGCUUAGUGGUUCCACCCCCCUCCCCUGCCUUUUUUAAUACGCGUUCAGCGGUGAUUCACUGCAGGGCUUGUCUGUGCUUAAACUUGCCUGCUUUAAUUAAACUGAUCAUUUAAAUUGAUGUUAAUACCUGAGUGUGUGCAAGCACUCAGUACUUGGAUUUUACAGAGCUCUGUGUGCCUCUGUAAAGUACAAAGCGGAUUUAACCAGUCUGAUGAAUAUUCCCAAAUGUAUUUGGAGAGUCUGAAUUACCAGCAAGCAGUUUUUCCCAUUCUUUCACUCUGUGUGUGGGUAAAUGUUCUGUUUUGGGAAGUGUGUUGCGCUGACAGUUCAUUUGGGAUUAUUCAUGACUGCAGAGAUUCAUUCUGAAACUCUGGAAGUAGUAGGAAGUCUUUUUGUGUCUUUAUCUUUGAGUCUUUUCUUGAUUUAUGUUGACUUCUGGGAACUGGGCAGAGAUACUGGCCUGGAAUUCCAGGGAAAAGGAAUUGCUUGCUUAGAUUUGUUUGACAUUUUGUAGUCUGUGUGCAUAUAAAGGAUCUAGAAUCUGUCAUUGAUUUCUCCUCCAGCAUGAGACUGGCAAAACUGCAGCUUGCUGCUUGGCAAAAUGCUGAUCAUGAUGUCAGAGCACACACACACACACCCCAUCUAUAUAUAUAUAUAUAUAUAUAUAUAUAAAAAUGGAAGUGGUAGCUACAUUAAAUGAAGUGGCUUUUAAGGGAGAAAAACAAUAAUGAAUCUAAAUAAAUGAUACAGAACUCCUCUAAAAGCAUCAUAAAAAUAUAAGAAGGUAGAAGCGUAGGCUGUUUCAGUGGUGUGAUUUAAGAGUGCGAAUCCAUACGAGAUGAAAUAUUUAGAGCUGGAAACUUGUAGUUGCAAUGAAUAUUAUCAGGUGAAAACAAAAGUGGAGAACGUGGAAAAGUUCUCACCACUUGUAUUUGUAAUAACAUGGGGGAGUUUUAUGCCUGUUUGUCCUGACACACGUGCAUGUAUCCAGUGUUAACUAACAAAAGUACAUAAAAGUACUUUAUAGUUCAGCUGCAGGGUGGCAGAUGCACAAUAGAGUAGGAGAAAAGGAGCAGCGGUAGCAAGUUCUGGGUGGUGUGAGUGGAAUCGUUCCAAUGUGAGAAAUAUUUUCAUCUCCUAUUAAUUUGACUGGAGGCUGUUAUUUGAUUUUGUUUGUUGUACAUUUAAUGAGCAUUUCAGGAGGGAAAUUGAGAGGAAAGCAGCUGUGAAAACGAUUUCAUUUUUUAAUAUGAACCAACCUAAGUUGUAGUCUGGGUUUGUCUGCCACCACCAUCAAAAAUAAUAAUUUUUCUUUUGAGUAAAGAAAAUCCCCAGCGGGGCUGUGUUCCACAGGGCGUCUCAUCCAGUGAAAAAGGCUUUGGAAAGGAUCUCCACGUUUUACUUCCACACGAGGUAACUCGCAACAGGACUGGGAGCAGACAGACCUCAGCCUAGAUCGUGGAAUGCACAAAGCAGCUGUUUUGCCUAUAAAUAAACCAAGAGCCUCUUCUCGAGUGAGGCUUUUUUCCCAGAUAUGCCAUGGAAAUGCGGUGCCGCUUUAACUGCUGGUGUUUAGAGUUUAAGUAUGUGGCAGUAGCAGCAUUCACAUUCUGGUGUGUGAAAGUCACGCUGGCAUCAGGUUUCAGCCUUAUCGCGUUGGUAUCACGCUGUGGUGAGACCACUUGUGCUGCAAGAGUUAAAUCUGUCAGCCUUUCUCUUCCUAAUCCCCCCGAGUGCCACAAGGUUAUAUUUUAGGUAAAAAGCAAAACUCCGCUGCCGUUCAUCAAAAACAUCUCCGUGCACCACUGAUUGUUUUGUUUCCAUCUCUUUGUAAAUUCCUACAUAUUUUUAAUAAUUUAACAGAUAAUUUUACUGAGAGGUGGGGUGUGUGGAAUAUCUCUUUGAUCUCCUUGGUUGGCUUUUUUUUUUUUUUUUUCCUCUUCGGUUUGUGGUUUGGUUUUGGUUUGUUUCGUGUGGUUUUUUCCUUCUUGUUUCUCCUGUGAAUCCGGGGAGAAGCAGCAGUAGGAAUUUGCAGGGAUCUUGUGGGCUGGCUCAGCGCCCGGGGACAGCGUCUCGGUGACCUGGUGGCUCUGCUCAGCCCUUGGCACUCGCUACCACCAGUGACUCAGGUUCUUGCACCUAUUUAAUGCCGUAAAUCCGCCCUUUGGUUGCCCCCAGAACAGAAGGCUCCCACUUUGUGUUCCCCUGCCUCUGAUCACCUGUUCCCAGGCAGGUGUUCCCACUCCCGCUGCAUCCGCGCUGCUGGAAAACCAGCGGUUCUUCUCGAUUCGGAAUAAAGCAGGAGCUGGGGAUGGAAACAGCCUGGCAAGAGGAGAAAGCCCCGAUAGCGUUCGAUCCCCACGGGGCAGAGCCGCAGCUCCCGGGUCCCGGCGGGAGGGAGGAGCAGCCGCAGCGCCGGGAGUGCAGCGACUGCUGCCGGCCAGGGCUGGCAGAUCCCGCUGCCUUUCCAGGGGCUGGCUCGGGGCCACGGCUGCAGCUUCUGGCAGCUCAUCUCCUGAUUGCUCGGCUUGGAGGGAGGCGAGAAGUUUGUACCCCGAGUCCCUUCUCUCUCCUGAGCGGCAGCUGCACACCCAGGAUGGCACAGCGCCUUUUAAAGGAGCCUCUCAGGCAGUUUUGGACACAAGGCACGGCUCCUCCUCAGAGGAACCCUGAACGACUUCACACUCUCUCCCUCUGUUCGCUCCGAGGUGUGAACGCCCCCUCUUCUCAACAGGAUAGCCAAUCCCAAAAAUAAAUGAGGAAAAAAAAAAGUUUUAGUUCUAUUUAAUAGGUCUUGGCGUUCUUGUAUUUCUUUUGUUCCUUCCGAGAUUUUGCGCUCACUUGGAGGAAAAUUUGAAGGGGUGGAAGUAGAUGAUCUUUAAGGUCCCUUCCAAACCAAAGCAUUUUAUGAUUAUAUUUCUUUGAUUUCUCUGUCCAAAAUGGUAAUCCAAUUCUUCCUUCUCUGCCUUAAGAAAACCAACCAAACCAAAAAAUCCACAGUUGAUGUUUUUCUCAGUUGAAAACCC